UACAGAGGGUGCAAGCGUUGUCCGGAAUCACUGGGCGUAAAGGGCGCGUAGGUGGCCUGAUAAGUAGGAGGUGAAAUCCUGGGGCUUAACCUCAGGGCUGCCUUCUAGACUGUCCGGCUCGAGCACAGUAGAGGCAGGUGGAAUUCCCGGUGUAGCGGUGGAAUGCGUAGAGAUCGGGAAGAACAUCGGUGGCGAAGGCGGCCUGCUGGGCUGUUCGCUGACACUGAGGCGCGACAGCG
rnacentral:rRNA from 1 species